rnacentral:lncRNA from 1 species
GCUGCAGCAGCGCGCGCCGCUCCUAUCCCGCGGCAGCCCAGCAGGUGGCGCUCGCCUCCCCCGCCCCCGUCUCCACCGCAGACAGCCGUGACGUCAGCUGCUCGACGCCAUUUGAAUGACUCUCGCAACGGAGAAACCGGACUUGUGUGGCUCGCAGCAUAACUAUUUGGCGUUGCUUCUUCAGUGGCUGUGGCUCGGCCCCUGGCUCGGCAACCUCCAUGUGUCGCAGGUCCCUGAAGCCCACACAGGAGCCGAAAGAUCACCUCGGAGGGGAUCAACUGAACAAGGCUGGAUGGAGGAACGGUGAGAACAGGCAGGAGGUGGGAAAACAGCAUCAGAGGGUUCCUGCCUGCUGCCAUGCCCUGCCGCCCCCAUCUGCCCCCCGUCCGGCACAGGGGUUGAUGCUUGGUAAGUGCAUAGAUGAUACUAGCAACAGCAUCAUCAUCAUGCUACUCACAACAAGUAAAUGUACUGAGUACUUAAUUCAGUGCUAA